rnacentral:rRNA from 1 species
GAUGAACGCUAGCUACAGGCUUAACACAUGCAAGUCGAGGGACCGGCUCACGGGUGAGUAACACGUCUCCAACCUGCCCUUUACUCUGUGAUAUCCUUUCGAAAGACAGAUUAAUACCCGAUAUAACGGAUGGGGGUGCGUUCCAUUAGGUUGUUGGUGAGGUAACGGCUCACCAAGCCUUCGAUGGAUAGGGGUUCUGAGAGGAAGGUCACCAACAGUGGAACUGAGACACGGUCCAAACUCCUACGGGAGGCAGCAGUGAGGAAUAGUGGUCAAUGGGAGCUAGCCUGAACCAGCCAAGUAGCGUGAAGGAUGAAGGCUUAUGGGUCGUAAACUUAUUUUAGAUAAGAAUAUGUAGUAUAGGAAUAAGGAUCGGCUAACUCCGUGCCAGCAGCCGCGGUAAUUC